GUACUCCUACGGGAGCAGCAGUAGGGAAUAUUGGGUCAAUCGGGGGGCAAACCCUGAACCAGCCAUGCCGCGUGCAGGAAGACGGCCUUCUGGGUUGUAAACUGCUUUUAUAUAGGAAGAAAGACCAUGCGUGGUUCUAUGACGGUACUAUAAGAAUAAAGGACCGGCUAACUCCGUGCCAGCAGCCGCGGUAAUACGGAGGGUCCAAGCGUUGUCCGGAAUUAUUGGGUUUAAAGGGUGCGUAGGCGGCCAAUUAAGUCAGAGCUGAAAUCCCACUGCUUAACAGUGGAACUGGCUUUGAUACUGGUUGGCUUGAGUAUACUAGAGGUAGGCGGAAUUGAAGGUGUAGCGGUGAAAUGCAUAGAUAUCUUCAAGAACACCAAUUGCGUAGGCAGCUUACUGGAGUAUAACUGACGCUGAGGCACGAAAGCGUGGGGAGCGAACAGGAUUAGAUACCCUGGUAG
rnacentral:rRNA from 1 species